rnacentral:tRNA from 1 species
UAGAAUGUAGUAUAGUGGAAGUACUAGAAGUUUUGAUCUUUUCGGUGCAGGUUCAAGUCCUGUUUUUCUAA